CCGGAUUUAUUGGGUUUAAAGGGUGCGCAGGCGGGGAAUUAGGUCGGCGGUGAAAUUUCGGGGCUCAACCUCGACAGUGCCGUUGAAACCGUUUCUCUUGAGUGCGGAUGAGGUAGGCGGAAUUUGUGGUGUAGCGGUGAAAUGCGUAGAUAUCACAAGGAACACCGAUUGCGGAGGCAGCUUACUAAACCGUUACUGACGCUCAUGCACGAAGGCGUGGGGAUCAAACAGGAUUAGAUACCCUGGUAGUCCACGCAGUAAACGAUGAUUACUUGCUGUUUGCGAUACACAGUAAGCGGCGAAGCGAAAGCGUUAAGUAAUCCACCUGGGGAGUACGUUCGCAAGAAUGAAACUCAAAGGAAUUGACGGGGGCCCGCACAAGCGGAGGAACAUGUGGUUUAAUUCGAUGAUACGCGAGGAACCUUACC
rnacentral:rRNA from 1 species